AUUUAUUAGGGAGAUCAUAGAGAUUGAAGACUUAUCUGUUAAGUCAUGGAAUGUUUGAUUUCUAAUUCCAUAGAGGUGAUGGAGGAGUUGUCAUAUUGCUAUUGCUGCCAGCCAAAGGGCAAGAAAGACAAGAUGGCUGACAGCGACCUUGCCAUGCAGUGUGAGGCUCAGGGGAGGAUGAUAGAACAGCUGAAGAGCAUGAUACGAGAGAGGGAGGAAUCUAUAAAAGCCAAAGAUAAGGAGUUACAGGAAACAAAUGCAAAAAUAUCCAAAAUGAAACUGCAGGCAAAAGCUAAAGUAGCAAAGGAGGCAAAAUCUGCUGCCAAGAAAACAGAAGAUGUCCCAAAAGAAUCAGAUGGUGCUGCGGGAGAUGAUGACACACAGACAGACAAAGCGGGGAAGGCAAAGCUGAUCUUGCUGAAGAGGAAGCUGGAGGAAAAAGACCGGAUCAUCGCGGACAAGGAGGAGCAGCUUGCCACCAAAAACGCUCUCAUUGAGGCCAAGGUCAAGGUCAUAUCCGAGCAGGAAGAGGCCGUCAAGACUCUGUCGUCGCAGCUGGAGGGAAACGCCAAUCUGAUUGCACAGCUUCAGACGGAACAGAAAACGGAGAGCUCCACUCCAGAGAGUGGAGUCCAGGAGAUGUAUGCCCAGAUAGUGUACAAAGACAAUAAGAUCAUGGAGCUCAACAAUAAGAUUCUGGAUCACGAAAAGAAAAUGAUGGAUCUACAGGAAUUUAUCUCGGAGAAAAACGAGGUCAUCAAGGGACGAGACAAGGUGUUUGAGAUUUUACAGACAACCAUCAGAGAAAAAGACCAGAACAUCCAAGGUCAGGCCAUGUUGAUAUCCAAGCUCUCGGCUAAAGUAGAAAACUAUGAGGAGGAGAUAGCUGAAAUGAAGGAACAAGUCGAGAAGGCCAAUCACGCAUUGAAACUGGAAAGUGAAAAGUUCGACAUGAAACUUAGAGAAACUCAAAAAUACUUUGAAGAGUCUCUUCAAGAAAGUCAGGGUCUAGUGGCAAGUCUUCGCGAAAAUGUGAAAGUGAAAGACGAUGAAUUGUUGAUGAGAGAAAACGACCUGCGAGAACUGAUAUCAAGGCAUGAAAAGGACAUUCAGAGGAUAAUGGCCAAGGGGGAAGUGGAUCUACAAGACCAUGUGUUAAAAAUGUUAGAACAGAAACUGAGAGACACAAAUGAAGUUUUGGAAGGAAAAAUCAAAGUCAUUGAAGUACUUCAAAAGGAAGUGACUGCUAAGGACAGGGAGAUUGAGGAAGGUUUACACGUGCAGAAAAACUUCAAGGAAAAACUUCAAACCACCUCAGAACAGUUAAUGUUGAUGCAGGCUAAUAUUGUAGACAUGGAAAUUCAGUGGAAGGAUGAAAAAAAGAAACUAGACGCCAAAAUUCGAGAUCUCAUCGAAAAGCAGGAAUUGGAGAGAACCGAAAAAGAGCUGACAGUGCAGACCAUGCAAGGCCAGUUGUAUCAGUACCAAACAGCCUACACCCAGGCGGUGACGCAGUACAACAGCCUGCAGGAGCGCUUCCAUCACAGCACGCGCCCCGGGGGAGCCGUUCCUGCUGCUCAGGUACAACCGGUGGAGGAGACCAAACUCCAGGCUCCCGAGCAGAUGGACGCUACAGCUCAAGUGAUGGCUGAUCUUAAAGGAAAACUGCUAGAAAAAGAGAAGAUCAUUAAAGAAUUGGAACAUUUUAAGAGUGAUUUUGAGGCAACUCAUGUUCAAUUGGAAGAUCUACAAAAGAAGAUGGACUCAAAGGUUGAAGAGUUGAAGAAAAACCUAAAAGCUGCUGAGGACACUAGUGCCAAAAACCUAAAACAAAAAGCCCAGUUAACUGCAAAGAUCAAGACUCUGGAGAAGGAAAAUGGAGAACUUAAGGUCUCUCUCUCUACAGCGGAGAAUAAACACAGAGAGGACAUUGCAUCACUACAAGAACAGCAAACCAAAGCAGAGAAACUCCUCCAGAAAUCUUCAAUUGACUCAGGCUCACUUGAAAAAGAGGUAUCAACACUGACUGCUGACAACAGCAAACUUCAGGAGCUCAAUAAAAAUCAAGAGAAAGAAAUAGAAGAACUAAAAGUAACUCUUCAAAGCAAAGAAGAGAGUUUGCUGUCCAUGUCGUCUGAUCUUGAAGGUAAAGUAAAGGAAAUUCAAUCUCUUCAACAGAUGUUACAUCAACAUGAAACCGAAAUGACUGAGUUAAAACAGUUAAAACAAGAAAGUGACUCAGAAGUCAACAACUUAAAAUCUCAAUUAGAAGAUUUAGAUAAUCAAUUAAGGAGUUUGAAUUCAAACUCUGAUGUAAAAGACACUGAAUUAGACAGCUUGAGGAAAGAGUGCAAAGACAAAGAGAAGACAAUAAAUGAUCUCAAACUCAGUGUGCAAGAUAAGGAAACAGUUACUAGUAAAUUACAAGAAAGUGAAAGUGCUCUUAAAACCGAAUUUUGUUCAUUACAAACUGAAAAUAAAGAAAAGGAAUCUAUCAUUCAAUCAUUAAAUGUUCAGAUUGAGGAAUUAAAACAUUCACUAUCGGCCAAGGAUUCAGAGUUAGUAGACAUUCAUUCAAAGUUUUCGGAAUCACAUUCCAAUUUAAUAAGUAUUACCUCUGAUAAGGAAAGUCUUUCAAAUGAACUGCAACAAACUAACGAGAAGCUGGAUGGUGUCUCCAACCAGUUGAAAGAACUUCAGGAAGAGAAAGAUUGUAUAUUAAAGGAGCUGGAAGAAAAGAAGGAAAACAUCAAGGAGUUAUCCAAAAAAGUAGAUGUUCUAAAUGAAAAUCUUUCAGACAAAAACAAUGAGCUUGAAAGAAAGGACUCAGAAUUAAACCAUAUUAAAUCAGACUUGAAUGAAGUGAAAACAUCUCUCUCUGAAUUAUCUAGUCAGAAAAGUGCAGUUGAUCGACAGUUGGAGGAGUUACAAACAGUGUGUAAAGAGAAAGAUGAACAGAUUCAGAAUCUGUCUUCUAGUUCAGAGGAUAGUGUAAAAUCUUUGCAAGAACUUGUAGCUGAAAAAGACUCAAAAAUUCAGAGUUUGUUGGAUACUGUCAGUGAAUGUGAAGUAAAGUUAAAAGAAAUGGAGAAUGGUGUAAGAAUUUCAAAAGCUGAAAGUGAUGAAAAAGUACAAAAGUCCGAACAGGAAUUAAAUGAAGUUCGUGAAAGACUUGAAAGUAAAUUAUCAGAGUUAGAAGAGACAAUUCUGGUUAAGGAUGAUGAAAUAAAAAGUGUGACAAAUAAAUUAACAGAGACAGAUUCUGGGCAUAGGUCAAAGGUUGAAUCUCUUCAAAGUGAAAUUAAAACUCUGCUCGACAAUCGAUCUGCUUUGUCCAAAGAACUAGCUGCGAAGAAGGAAAGUUUCAAAAAGAUGGAAGAGCAAAUAGUGAGCCUUCAAAAUAGUCUUGAAAAAAAAGAGGAGACUCUUCAGGAAAUGUUAUCUGUAAACCAAACUCUGAAGGAUGAGAACCAGAAGCAAGCAGAAUUUCUGCAGCAAAAGACACAGGACCUAGAAGUGGUACACCAGGAAAGGGCAGAACUUACAGAGUCACUUGGAAAAUUAACCAGGGAGAUGGAAGAAAAAUCCACGGAAAAUAGCAAGCUGACAGAAAAGGUUAGUAAUUUAAAACAUAUAUGCAAUGAACAUCAGAGUACUAUAGAGGCACUUAACCAUUCUGUUGCAGAUUUGCAUAAACGCAUGGAUUUGCUCUUGCAAUCUAAAGACUCUGAAAUAUCUGCUUUAAACGAGCAUGCCAAAUCUAUGUCUACUGAAUGCCAAAAUCAUAAAUCCCAGUGCGAAUCUCUCCAAUCCCAAAUAGAGCAUGCUAAUAAUUGCAUGAAGGAGUUGCAUGAUAAAUAUGAACGAUCAUCAGACUUCCUGAAAAUUUUGGAAGAAAAGACCCAUAGAUAUGAAGAGGAGUUGCCAAAAAAAGAAGAGGAAAAUCAGUUAAACCAGUUACGUAUUAAUGAGCUGGAAAGGAGUCUCCAAUCUAGUGAGAUAAUAGUAUCAGAACAUGUGAGUGAACUUGAAGAGUUAACAUCAAAAGCUUCAGCAACUUCCCGAAUUUUGACAGAAUUUAGGUGUGAAAACAAGUCUUUAAAGCUCAAAAUAGACUCAAACCUUGAAAUGUUAUCUGGUCUCCAGAAUAUGAUAGAAGAAAAAGAUAGAACAAUAUCAACUUUAGAUACUGAUUUAAAGAAGAAUGAAGAAAAGAUGUUCACUCUAAGCAAUGAUUUAGAAGAAAAAGUGAAAUGGAUUGAUAAUCUUAAUGCUGAAAAAAGUGCUACUAGAACUGAAAAUGAGGAGUUAUUGAAAAUAAUUGACAUGAAACAAUCUGAUAUAGAAAAUAAGACUGCCCUGUUAGUGGCAUUUGAAAGAGACAAUAAUGAAAGAAUGGAAGAAAUCAACAAACUAAAUGAACAAGUAAACAUUGGAGAAAAACAAUUGCUAGAUAUCAAGAAAAAGCUGGAAGAUAAAUGUAAAGAACUUGAAGAAAAAGACCAGUCAUUGGAGGAAAAAAGUGCUAUUUUUGAAGAGCAAGCUAUCAAAAUUAACACAGAGAUAUGUGAUGAACUAGAGCUAUUGAAGGAGGAGAACAAGAAUGAUGCUUCAAGAAUAGAAAAGUUGACAAGUGACCUUCAAACACAGAUAGAAAAGGUAACAUUGCUUGAAGAGGCCAAUGUCCAGAUUAAAUGUGAGGUCAAAAGACUAGAAGAGGAAAAUAAUAGUCAUAUUGAAAUUGCAGAAAGGCUUAAGAAAAAACAGAAGCUGCGGCAAAAGAUGUACCUAACGAAGACUGUAAGUAAUUUAAACCAAUCGUUGUCUGACGCUGAGUUAGCUUUGGCAGCAGCAAACAAAGAGAUUGAAGAUGUCAAACGUACUUACGGGGCAAAUGUUCAGCACCUGGAGAGUAAAUGCAAUGAGCAAGAAAGUAUGUUACAAAAGUCUCAUGCCAGGUUGCAGGAAUUGGAGACCUCGGUAAUCCAUUUCAACGAUAAUCUAAAAGAAAGGAAUGAGGAAAUUGAGGCAUUGAAAGAAACCACAAAGUGUCUCUGAAGAAAAACGUAAUAUUGGACUUCAAGAAAUUCGGGACUUGCGAGGAGAACUGGCAACUUAACAGAAGAAAUGUCAUCAAAACAGAAAGAACUAGCUUUAAUCACUGAAAAUAUGGAAACAAUAAAAAAAGACAGUGCCACAAAAAUGGUAAAUUUGCAUGAUGAACUUGCUAAAACAAAAGAAGAGGUUCACACAGAACAGGAAAAAUGUAGAAUUAUCACAAAUACUCUAGAAGAAAAGGAAAAUAUUUUUCAGAAAACCACACAGGAAAAUGAAACGAAAAUGGAAAAAGUGUAUGACGAGCUUAAAGAAAAAGAAACGAGGAUAUCAAAUUUAAACGAAACCUUAAAUGCAAAGGAGGAAUGUUUAAGAAAACUCGAGGAAUCACACUCUAUAAAAGACAUUCAAAUUGAUAGAAUGAAAUCUGAAAUUACUGAUUUGCAGAACAAUGCAACAAAGUCUCUUAACACAGUUGAAGAUUUGAAAACUGAAAUAGACCAGCUGAUGCAAAGAAUAUGUGAAGCUGAAAAAGAUAAAGAAAAAUUUCAAAAGUUGUGUGAAAAAAGCCAAGCAGAAAUCCAGGGUCUUGAAAAAACGGUGAAAGGAAAAUGAUGUCACCAAUUCCUCAUUGCAAGAAGUACUGCAGCAAACAGAGAAAACCUGCUGCCAAUUAUCAGCAGACUUGGAAUAUAAAGCCAAAGAGGUUAUAGAAAUGAGGAAGGAGACAUGUAAACUAAAUGUAGAAAUAGAAAAGUUACAAUCAUAUUCCCAGUCAUUAUGCACACAGUUGAGUGAAAAAGAACAGAAUGUUACUUCAUUGGAAUCUAAAUUAAAAAAUACGUUGAAUGAUUUAGAAGCUUUGAAGAUAGAUAAAUCAUCUGCAGAAGAAGAGAAUUUGUCAAAAAUUCAAGAUUUAAUGACUAAAAAUAUGAAGACAGAACAGCUUCUUUUACACAGAGAGGCAGAAUGGCAAAGUCUAAAGGAGGAUGUGAAUACGCUUAAGUUUGAUAGAGAUUGUCUAGUCAAAUGGAUACAGUCUGAUGAUGAGACUACAUUAGAGGAAUCCGCUGUCUCUGAAGAAAUGACUCACGUUUUUAAACAUGUUCAUAUGUUGAAGUUGACAGGGAAAUUAGCAAACGAUGAAUCUAUUAAAAUGAAAAUCCAGAUUGAUUUACUGAAGCAAGAACUAGAAAAUGUAGAACAGAAUCUGGAAUCAGUCAAAUCUAGUCAUUCUCAUACUUCUUUAGAGCUUGUAAAAGAAAGGAAAGAAGUUUCAAAAAUUCAUAGUGAUCUCAAAGAUGUUAUUAAUGCUAAAGACGAACUUCUUAAGCAACUUGAUCAAAGGCUACAUGAGAACGAAGAGAAAGACAUUGAAGUAAAGUCUUUGAAGUGCGUAAUUGAUCAGCUGAAACUAGAGAGCACAAAUGAGCUAACCGUUCUACAACAGAGUCAUGAUGAACUAGUGCAAAAAACAAAAGACACGCUGCAAGAAAUGUACAAAGAAAAGGAUAAGCUGAUACAGGAGCUCAAGGCAUUAAAUGAGAAAAAUCAGCUUUCUUGCAAGAAGUUAGAAGCAGCUGAGAAACAAAUGGAGACUUUGCAUACUGAAAACAUAGAAGUGAGUUCUAAAUUAGCACAGCUUAAAGAUGAGAACCAGAGCUUUGUAACCAAAAGUGAUGCUCUUCAAGAAACAAUAAAAAUACUUUCGGAAGAGAAGUCAAGCUACCAAAAUGAUAUAAGAGAAAAAUUAGAUAUAAUAAAACAGCUUAAAGACGAACUAGAAUCAACAUAUAACUUGGUAGAGGAGUCAGAAAACAAAUUGCAAAAUGCACUUACAAUGCAAAAUCUUAAGCAAGAAGAAUUUUGUCAGGAAAAAGAAGACUUAUUGCACAAAGUCGACAAUUUGAUCAACCACAUUGCAAAGAUGCAGGAAUCAUUGACAGUUCUGGAAAAUGAGAAGUCUGCUUUUCAAGAAGAUUUAAAGACGAAAAAACAACAGUUGGAGACCAACGAUAGUGUAAUUGAGUCGCUUAAUCAAGAAAACCACACAUUGAGGCAAAAUGUAGAAUGUUUCAAACAAGAAAUAGCAGAGUUUCAUACAACUUCAGAAAAAUUCGAAAAGGCAAUCACAGAGAAAUUAAAUAAUUUAUCAGUAAUGACAGAAAAAUUAAAGGAUUUAGAAAGGGAAUUGAAUAAAGAAAGAGACCACAAGAGUAAUCUCCAGGAUGAACUUGUUCAGGUCAAGAAGCAGAUUAAAGAUAUCGAAAAUGCACUGGAAUUAAGUAUAGAAGAGAUCAAUGAUAAGGAGCAGAGGAUUCAGAAAUUGCAAGAAGAAAAUGCCAAAUUAACUGAAAUAGAGUCGAACCUUAAGGAAAAGGUUGAGGAGCUUUCUGAUUCAUACGCAGUAGAAAUAAAACAGAAAGAAGCUGAUGAAGAAAGUAUUAAAAGCAAGACUAAGACAGUAACAGAAUCGUUAGCGAAAAUAAAGAAUCUUCAAGAAUUGAACUCAAAGCUCAACUCUACCUUGGAAGAGAAAAGAGACGGUUAUUGUGCACCAAAAAGAAAAACAAUUGGAACUAGUAGAAACCUUGGCGAGGACACAGCAGGAAAAAUGUGCUCUUAAUGAGACUGUUGCGAGAUUAGAAAGCCAAAUAAUUUUGGAAUGUAAAAAAGGUACUGAAAUUUCACAGGAAAAUGAUGAUCUGAUAAAGUUUAAUUGUAAAAUACAAGAGGAUCUCGAAAUUUUGCGCACAACUGUCGACGAACUAAACGAGAAGAAUCAAAGCGCUCAAGAAUACAUAAUGGAAAUUAAAGACUCUUUAGAUUUGAGAACAAAUGAAUUAUCUUGCCUAUGCAAAGAAAAAGAAAAGAUGACGAUAAAGGUGGAGUCAUUGCAGAGUGACUAUGAAAAAUGUUUAAGCGAGAAGCACAAUUUCGAAGAAGUCGUGAAAGAACUCAAAGACAGUUUGAAUGACAAACUUUUGUCACUUAGCAUUAAAGACAAGGAAAACAACGAGCUUAAUUCUAGGGUGGUAGCAAUGGAGUAUGAAAUCAUACAGUUUAGAGAAAAGAUAUGCAAACUUGAAGAAGAAAAACAAAUCUUUGAAAACAAAAUUGCAGAACUAGAUGAUUGUUGUAAAUCUUUCAUGCAUAAUAAAACAGCACUUGAAGUAAAAGUAAAAAAAGCAGAAGAUGAAAAAGAAGACGUCGCUUCUAAAUAUUCAGCAGUAAAAACGGAAUUUGAAAAUUUAAAUGAAUAUUGUCAAGACCUUGACUGCCAGUUUAAGAAUUUAUCAAAAGAAACAGAGGAUGUGAAAAUUGAAAAUGACUUGCUAAGCAAAUCUGGUAUAGACAAAGAUCAGGAACUGAAAAAUCUGUUGUCAGAGAUAGACGAGUUGAAGUCGGUGAACCAAAGUCUUGGUAUGUCACUUAGUGAAUCAGAGGCAGAACUUGAGAGACUAAAGCUUGACUUACAAAAGAGUUUUGGUAUAAAUCAAGAAAAAGAAAGUUUACUUCAUCAAAGCAUGAUGGAAUCACAACAUCAGUCUGAAGAAAAGAAGAAACUCGUUGAGUCCGUUUUCAGUGUGAAAAGUCAACUCGAUGCGGUUAACCUUGAAAAAAAUGAGCUUGAAAAAAGUUUGGCCAAAGCAGAUGAGAGCAUUUUAGCAUUAAAAAAUAAACUACAGGAUUUAGAACUUUCAAAAACAAAACUUGAGGAAAUGUUGCAAAAUAAUAAAACUCAUAACGAAGACCAGAUAAGAACCUUAGAGAAGCCUAGUUGAAUCACUCAGAACUGAAAGCAAGAAGAAAGAAGAUAUACAGAGCAGUGUCAAUGAAACGCUGUUGGAGGAAAAAGAGAAGCUAUCAAGAUCGCUUCAAGACUUUGAAGAAAAACUGCUCAAUACAGAGACAAAGCUUCACAAAAUACAAGAAGAGCAACAUCAAUUGCAAAAUAGCAAUGAUUCUCUUUUGGAAGAAAACGAAACACUUUCUGAAGAAAUGUUUACGAUUGAGAAUGAAAUGUGUGUUUUACAAAGUGAAAUUGAAGAAAUGCAAAGCAAGAUCUUAUCAGAGAAAGAAAUGAGUGCAAAACAAUUUAAAGAAAAACAGUGUGUCAGAGCAGAGCUACUACAGAAAGAAAAUAUGUUAUCUUCUCUUCAGCAUGAAUUCAAUGUUCAUCAUGAUUUACUACAACAAAAAGAAGACAACAUAAACAUGUUGCAACAACAAAAGUCAAUAGAGAUAGAAUCUUUGAAUGAAGAGAUUUAUAAUUUGAAAGAUCAGAUCCAAAUUCUUCAAGGCAAUGUGUUGAAGGAAAUUAAAGAGAAAACAAGUUUCUCAGACAGACUCUCUAGAUUUGAAUCAGAAUGUUCAGUUAUAAAAGAUUAUGCCGAGGAUUUGGAAUGCCACCAAAUUGAACUAACAGAAGUAAUUAAAAAAUUAAGGAAAGACGCAACUGUUCGAGAGAAGACGCUUUAUUAUGAAAUAAACUCAAAGAUCAACACAAUUGAUAGCUUAAACAAACAAAUAACAGAAUUACAGAUAUCUAUUGAAAGUAGAGAUGAAAUACUGAAUCAGGUUAGCUGUGAACUCACAUUAACGAAAGAAUUACUUUCAACAUCUGAAAACAAAUGCAAACAAAUUAAUUGUAGAUCUUUGGAACUUGCGUCUAAUUUGGAAAGGGAAAUUCAGUUAAAAAGCAAAUUAUUCUUAGAUAAUGAGAAGUUAUGCAAUUUGCAGAGCAGACUAGAGAAGAAGAUAGUUGAUUUAGAGAAGAGGAUACAUGAAGAUGGUGAUGCGAAGAGUAAGUUAGAAAAUACACUGAAGAAACAAUUAAAUGAAUACCAGGCACUAGAAAAGAAAUUAGAGCAGUACAGUUCAGGCUGGUCGGAGGAAACAUCUACAAAAGACCUGGAAAUUCAAGAACUUAAAACAAAAAUUGAUGUAUUGCAAGACGAAUAUGAAUUGGUGAAUACAGACAACCAUGGAAAGACAUGUUUGCUUCGAAAAAUGAACGAUGAUUUGAGGUUUAAGACAAAUAGAAUUUGCGAAAUGCAGUCGAAAUUGGAUGAAUUGGAUGAGAAAAAUGAGUUCCUUCAAUCUACUUUAAACAGUGAAAUAAAAACUAGGAAACAAAUUUUGAUUGAACAUGAAGAAUUGGUAUGUAAAGUUAAAGCACUUGAAGCAGAAAAACAAAAGUUAGAAUGCGAACUCAGUAAUCAUAAUGAAAGCAUAGGUAAUAUCAUGUUAAAUAACAACGAGCUUAUAGAACAAUGUUCCUCCUUGAAACACCAAAUUGAAGAAGCAGAAAACCAUAUUCAAAACUCUCUUGAAAAAUUGAAUAAGGGUGAAGAAGUUAUCGGUCAGUUAAAGGCACAAAACGCAGCAAUGGAAAACCGCAUCCAAGAAUUGCAAAAAGAAGCACAAUAUCUUGAUGACUGCUUGAAAGACAAAGGUGCAGCAGUUUUAACGCUUACACACCAAGUUGAUUCUUUAACUGAGAUAAAGACAAAGUUAGAAACUAACAUUAAGGAUUUGCAAAAUGUUGGUAAUGAGCUGAAAAAUAAAAACGAUCAGAUCAUUAACAUGAUGAAAGAGAUAGAAGAAUUAAAAUUUAGAGAGAAUGAACAAAGUCAUGCUAAAGCGAUGCUGGUCUCUCAGUGCGAAAAUUUUGCAGAGAAACUAGAGGAUAACACAGCUCUGCUCAAAAAUGAAAGACAAAAGAAUAAUAAUUUAAGGCAAAAGCUCAGUGACAGAGAAGCAACGUUUGAUUUUGCUGUAAAUGAAAAGUCUCAUUUGAGCGAAGAAUGUGAACAACUUAAGUUCUGUCUAACAGAGAAAGUUGACCAAUGUGAACGGUAUUGCAAAGAGAUAGAUACUCUAAAUCAAAACAUAAAGGGAAAGGAAGAGAGCUUGAACGGCUUGAAAGAAAACUUACUGAAAAAAGAAACUGAAUUUGAGAACCUUCAAAAGAAUUAUGCCACAGUCUGUGAAGAAAUGGAUGCAACGGCUAAAGAAUUAAAGGAUACUCGAGAAAAUUUAAGUACACAAUUGCAGUGCGUUGAAUCAUUACAGAGAAAGAACGACUUGAUUUUAUCGGAAAAUGAAGACCUGCAAAGUGCAAAACACAGUGUAGAUGUAAAAAUAAGUUAACUUUAACAGAAAUUAAAAAAAUGAAAGGAAAAAUGAACGAUAAAGAACAAGAAAUAGCUCAAGUUAAAAAAUCCUUUGAAUUCAUAGAAACGCUGAAAUUGGAAAGUGAACUUAAGUUGAAAAAUGUGAUUAUGGCCUUAAAAACUGAAUCAUGUCCAGAAGCAGACGUUGAUGGAGAUGAAAACGAGUUUACUUUUAAUCAACUUGAAAAGGAACUCCAGAAAUUGAGAGAAGCAACAGUGAAGGCAAGUGAAGAAAACUCAAAGCUAAAAGCAGAAAGUGAAAAUAGAGAAUUGCUUUUGAAGAGAGCAUCCCAAUCACAGGAAGAACUGGCCAAGAAAUGCAGUGACACAGAAAAUCGUAUAGAGCAGAUAAUUCAAGAGAAAGAUUUAUUUGAGUCUGAACUAUUACAAACCAAGAGUGAGUAUGCUACAUUGCAAGAGCAGAUCCAUGUUUUGACGGAAAACAACAGCAUUAUGGCAAAGCAGCUUCAUGAGAAAGAGCAAUUGUUAUAUGACCUCAAAAAAGAAUUGGAAAAGAAACAGAAAAAGAAUAAGGACUUAUUAAAUGAUCAGGAAAGUUCAGAUCUGUUAGCAUCAAAGAGGGAAUCUACAAUAAAAGAUCUUGCUGAACGGGUGUCACAGUUGGAAUUGUCCCUUGAAAAGGAAUAUUCCGAAAACUCGGAGCUAAAAGUGUCUGUCGAGGAAAAAGAAAUGUGCUUACAGCAGCAAAAUGCAACAUUGUCUGACUAUAAAACCAAACUUGAUAACAUUCAACAAAAUUCAGAAAUGAUGCAAAGUGCUGCUAAGGAAAAUCAGAAGGAAGAAUCAGAAUCAAUUAAACAAGAGAUGAAAGAAAAAGAGGAAAAGCUGAUAAAACUUCAGACUGAAGUGACAAAAUUAGAGAAACUUUGUCGAGCAAAAGAUGCAAAGUUAGCUAAACGAACAGAGGAAAGCAAAAGUCAGAGUGAUAGACUGUUAGAGGAAAAAACUCUUACUCUCGAAAAGACUUUAAAUGCUCUACAGUUAGAAAGAGAUGGUCUCGUUUCAGAAAUGCAGAAAAUACAGAAAAUGUAUAAAGGUAGAGAAAUAAAGAUCAAAAAAUUAGAGGAGUUGAUUUCGGAACAAGAGAGACAUUUGAGUGAGUAUGAAGCAGAGAGUAUCAUUCUUAAAGAAAGCGUAAACGAACUCAAUGAAAAAGUGGAAGAUGCUAGAUAUGAAGAACAAUGCGCACAAAAAGAUUUACAGAGGAUGAUGAUUGAGCAGGAAAAUACAAUGGAAAGUGUUGAACAGUUACAACAAUCAAUUGGAAACACAAACAAAGAAAAUACUGCACUUAAGCAACAAAUUCAGGAAUUGAAAGAAGGUUAUCAAAUUUCGAUUGAAUCGGUAAGAAUACUGGAAAAUAAAAAUACAGAUUUAGAUCUUAUUACGCAGAAGAAAGAUGAAGAAAUUCACAGAUUAACAGCCCAUUUAUUAGGUGUUGAAGAAGACCAACAAAAAACAGUGUCUGAAUCCAAAAAACUUUCAUUGGUCACGAAAGGAAAGGAUGCCAAAGUCAAGAAACUAGAGGAAAUGUUAAAACGGAAAGAUGAAGAAUUGGAAGUGCUCAAUAUUCAGCUCAGAGAGGCAUCACGUUUGUAUGAAAGUGAAAUAAAAAAAGACGAAUCAAAACGUCAAGAAAUUCUUCGAUUACAAAAGCUAGGAAAAGGAAAAGAAGCAAAAGCAAAAAAGUUCGAAGAUGUGGUAUCUUUGCAAGAAAAGCUUUUAGCUGAGAAAGAAACUGACUCAGUUAUUCUUCAAGGUAAAAUUUCGGAGAUGAGUAUAAAGAUAAAUGCACUUGAAUCUGAAGAAGUGCAUUUAAGAAAAGAAUUGGAAGAUAGUUUUAAAGAAAUUGAAGAAUUAAAACACACUUGCAAAGAUUUUGAAAAACGAGAACUUGACCUCAAUCAAAAUAUAAAAAAGAAAAACGAAGAAAUUGAAAAAUUAAAUGCCGACUUUAAAACUAGUAAAGAAAAUUUCAACUCAUUGCUGUUAGAGAAAAGAGAUUUAGAAAAACAAAUUGUUGACGUGCAAAAUAUCAUGUCACAAACAGAACGAAAAUUGUGUACAGUAGAACAAGAAGUAGUGCGAUUAAAUGAAGAAUUAGAAAAAGUGAAAAAGGAUAAGGAUGCCAUUUCUUUUGAAAGAGAAAAAAUGAAAAUGAUAGAAAAAGGCAAAAAGUCCAAACUGAACAAAUUUCAAGAAGUUGUUGAAAAGCAGGAGAACAUAUUAACUGAAAAAGAAACUGAUUUACUAAUGAUGAAGGAACGAAUUAAUGAUUUAUCUGAAAGACUUAGUCAAAAAGAAGAGGAAAUCGAGAUUCUAAAAAGUGAUUUAGAUAGAUCUUGUCAGUUCGAGGAGUUAUGUAAACAACAUGAGCUUACAAUUUCUGAUAUACAACAGGACUUUGAAGAAAAGAGCAAAGACUAUUUGGAAGACUGCAUGAAUAACGAGAGAAAAAUUUCAAGUUUAGAAGAAAAAUGCGCGGCUUUAGAAAAUACUGUGGAAUUUCUACAACGCCAAGAGAAAGAUAUGGAAUUAGACAUUCAAUCCCUUUCUGCAUCUGCAUCGGAAACUGAUUACUGGAGAAACAGAUGUCAGAAAUUGGAAGAGAACAACGCUGGUAUUAGUGUUAUGCCAGUAGUUAGUGAUAUCAUAGAACCGCAGAAUAAUUCAAUAUCAUUUUGCACCAACCAAAAUGAAGAGUCCAGUAAAUCAGAGCUAAUAAAACCGUGUUCAGAGUCUAAUUUGUCAGCAUUAUUAGAAGAAAAACAAGCUUUAAUUCUUUCAAUGCAAGAUAAUCACCAAAAAGAACUUUCAGCUUUAAACGCAAAGCUAUCCAAAAUGAAAACACUUUGCAAAGCCAAAGAUGCAAAAUUAGCCAAACUUCAGAACUCUUCCAAAGAAGAGGAAAACAAGAUUGAAGAAAGUGGAAGCAGCGCAACCAUGGGGAGUGUAGACAACUUGUCAUUCAAUUCCAGUGGAAUUGAUAGUGAGUGGAAGGAAAGGAUUGUGCAUUCGGAGGUUGUUAUGCAACUUGAAAGAGAAAUAGAAGAUCUUAAAGAUGUCAUUCAGUCUCGUGAUGAAGAAAUUGUGGACGGAAGAAAUUUUGCCGUCAAUCAGCAAGAAGAACUGCAAACUUUAAGAGAUUAUUUGCAUUCAAAAGAAGCAGAAAUAUUUGAUUUAAAAGAAAGGAUUUAUGGAUGGGAAGAUUGGUAUGAGAAAGAGUUCCGGAAUAUCGAGGCUUCAUUACAAACAUUGGAAGACACUGUAGCAGAAAAGGAUAAUGUAAUCGCUGAUUUAAAAGAGGAACUUGAAUCUAUAAAAGAAACGUCGUUACAUGAUAAUGCUGUUGUAUUACAAGCAAAUGAAAAUGGUACACAUAAAUCUUUGGAACAAGAGCUGUCUAAAGUGAAAAGAUUAUGCAAAGGCAAAGAGGCCAAAAUAAAACAGCUAGAACAAAUUAAAAAGGACCUGGAAGAAAAUUUUAAAAAAUUUGAAGAGGAAUCAAAUCGUCAAAUAGAAUGGCGUCAACUCGUAGACGAUAACCAAACUGAAAAUCAAAAUUUGCGCCAACAUAUUGAGACUUCGAAUACUGAACACCUGCAGAGGAUUAAGGAUUUUGAGUCAAUGUUAACCAAACAAACCAAUCAAAUUCUUGCUCUCAAGCAAAACUACAUUGACUUGGAAAACAAAUGCAGAAAAUUAGAGGAAGGGUCUGAACUUGUGGCAAUUGAACUUAGCAUGUUUAAGAAAGAAGUGUUUGAAGUGAUAAAAGAAGAACAAGAAUUUGUUUAUCAUGAAGCCCUGGAGUCUGCUAGUAGUCCUGUAGCAGUUUUGUCAAUGAUCCGGAAAGAAUUUUCUCAUCUCCGCCAAUCAUUUGAUGAAAAUUUUGGGAAACUAAAAGAGAAAGAUUUGUGUAUUGCGUCAUUGCAAGAAACUAAUGAGUCAACGAUGAAAAAGAUGGCUUCCUUGGAAGAUAUGGUUUACUCUUUAGAGAAGAUGAGGGAAUCUCAUUUACAUAGUCUUGAAGAAAAAGAAACCACUAUCAAAAGUCUCAAUACUCAACUGACAGCCCUUCAAAGUGAUGAAGAUGUCAAGAAAACAAUAUGCAGUUUAGAGAGUCAGAUUGCACGCUUAAAGGAUAAUUUAUCCCGUCAAGGAAACGAAAUGCAAAAUAUUCAAAUGCUAUAUAAUAGCCAAGGGGAGGAGUUAGAAGGUACAUUAAAAGCACUUGAUGAAGCAAGGAAUGUGCGCAGUUCAAAGAUGGAGGAACAAGACUUGGCUAUUACUCAUUUGCGUAAGCGACUGCACGAGGAAGAAGAGAAGUGUAGACAACUGUCAGCAUCACUGGAAGAUAACCAGCAAAGCAUAGCAGAGUUGCAACAAACAGUGCAAAGUCUCACCGAAGCUAAUCAGGCAUGGCAAUAUUAUUACCAAGAAAAAGAAAAUGAAGUUCAUUUAGUGAAUCAGAGAUGCUCAGAUUUACAAACAUAUUGCACUCAAAAAGAUGAUAUAAUAGCUGCUUUAGAAGAGAAAUCAAAAACUAUUUUGUCACAGAAAAAUAAUGAUGAGACUGCAUUAAAGGAAUUUAAUGAUUCAUUGCUUGGGGAGAUCGAACAACUUAAACAAGUUAUCGAAUCUUCUAAAGGAGAACGGAAAGAAAGCUUAAGUCGAGUGCAGUCUUUAGAGAACGAAAACUCUCGAUUGAAUGAAGAGAUAGUUAGAAAAAAGGAAGAACUAUUACAGGAAAGGACUGCCAAGACCGAAUUAGAAAACACAAUAGUUAUGCUGAAUAGCAAAUUCGAAGAACAAAAUCAACAUGUAAUAGCGCUUGAGAAGGCUUCUGUUGAUAUCUCAGCUUCUCUUCAAGAGAAAAAUUGCCAAAUAGAAACCCUAACAAGCAAUUAUAUCCAGUCUCAGGAUUUGAUUAAACAACAUCAACAAAAGGCAGUUGAAUAUGAACAGCUCUUAUCAAAGUCGGAAACAAAUGUAAAGGAAAUGGAAAAGGAAACAACUAGUUUGAAAAAAAGUCUACGUCAAGGUCACGAAGAAUUAUCGAGAAUGAAAGAGGAUUUUGAGAAGGAAAAGCGUCAGUUGCUUGCUCAUUUGGAUGAAAAAGAAAACCAGUUAAUACAUUUGCAAAAGUCCAAUGAUUUCAUGGAAAGGGAAAUGCAAGAAUUAAAGAAGGAAUCUCACAAUAUAACAAAUGUUGUUAAUGAACCUAUUAUUCAAAAACAUCAAGAAAGACUUUUAGGGGCUGCACCAUCUACAUCGGUAAUGGAAAUGGAAACCACCGAGUCUAAGAAUGAUGCUGAAGGCACGAUUCAGAAACUUGAGGAGGAAAUAGCGCAGCUGGAACUUUCCAAAAGAGAGCUUACCAGUCAGGUUCAACAAUUAACGCAGGACCUGUAUCAAACACACCAAAACCAGAACAGCGACUCAAACAAAGCUGAGAUGCUUGUCAGUAAACUGAGAGGGACCGAAGAACGUCUGGAAGAAAUGAAAUCCCAAAACAUUCAGCUUCAGAAGUCAGUUUCGGAGAUGAAUGAAAGCAUCAGUCUUGCCAACUCAAAAGUAAGAGAGUAUGAAGAAUUGGUAAAGAAAAAUGGUAACAUUAUUGAAGAAUUGACUUUACAAAAGGACAGUUUAAUUAAGUCUUAUGAAGAAGAGAAAGAAAUUAGUAAAAAUGCCAUAGCAGAUUAUAUGAAUCAGGUACAUCAUUUAAAGCAAUCGGAGGAAGAAUUGAAAGCUAAUUCAGAACAAAGUCGUUUGCGAAUUGUUGAGUUGGAAAGUAACUGUUGUGAAGUAAAUGCAGCAUUUGAGAAUUUAAAACUCCAAUCUAAUGAAAGUGCAAGCAGCCUGUCAUCACAAGUAGAAAAACUUAAGAAGGAUUUAGAUAAUCUACAACAGGUUGUACGUUCUCUUGAAAGUGAAAACAAUUCUCUGGCAAGCGAGUUAAAACAUACAAAGGAGAAAGUGAAUAUUCUUGAACAUGACUAUGUAGAAUUGAAUAAUUCAAAAUCCGAAGCAGAAGAACUUGCACGAACUAUGGAAGAAAAAGAAAACAUUUUAUCCAGUUUAAUUGAAAGCAAAGAGCAUGAAGAAGGUUUGAUGAUAAAGAAAAUGAUCGAAAAAGAUGAAACAAUAUCGUCACUGUUGGAAAAAUCACAAGAAAUGGAAGAACGUUUCAAUCGAUUCAUUCAAAACAACAAUACUCUGGCAAACGAGUUGAAAGAUGAGAAAGAGAAAGUUAAAGUACUUGAACUUGAAUGCAUAGAAUUGAGAAAAUCUAAAACAGAAGCAGACGAACUUGUAAGAUCAAUGGAAGAAAAAGAAAAUAUAUUAUCUAGCUUGGUUGGGAGCAAAGAAAAUGAAGAAGAAAUAAUGUUAAAGAAAAUAAAACAGAAAGACGAAAAAAUAUCAUCGCUGCUAGAAAACUUGCAAGAAAUGGAAGAACGUCUGAACCAACUUGUUCAUAACGAAGAAAUUUUAGAAAACUUAAAAGAAACUUGUUUAAAACAUGAACAGGAAAUUGAUUUGCUAAAAAAGCAACAAGAAGAAAAAGACUUAAAUUUUCGUAAAGCUAUAGCGACUGCUAAAAAGCUUAAAUUUCAACUGCAGCAAGCAGCAAAAUCAAAAGAAGACCUAGAGAGUGAAAUAUCAACGCUAAAAAGUCAAGUGGAGAAAAAAGAUGCAAAUGGUGUCAAGGAUAAUGAUAAUAUUGUUGAAACAAGUGUUAAGGAACAGUUCCCCAUGGGAUCUGAAGAGCUUCGUCUUAAAAUCGAAUCAUAUGAACAGCAAAUCCAGGAUUUAGAAGAAAAAUGUCGGAGCAUGCAAGAUUUUAAGCUAGAAAUUGCAGAAUAUAAAACUUUGUUGUCGUCAAGAGAGGAAGAAAUUGCUAUAAUGAGAGAAGACUUGAAAUUGAAAGAAAAUAUUGCAAGUUCAAUACAAGCACAGCUGUGGGAAAAAGAAAAAUGUCUAAAUGAUUUAGAAGCAGAAAUAGAAAUCUUGCGUACUCAGUAUACGACAGAAAAAGACCGCUUGACAGAAAACAUAUUAAGAAUAGAAACUCAGAAAUCAGAAAUGCAGUCAGAAAUUGUAACACUGGAAGAACAAAAGCUGUCAUUGCACAAUGAACUUGCCCAUAAAUCCGAGGAGCUAGACACAGUCAUGGUAAAUGUCAAACAGAACAGUCAAGAGAAAGAAAAAAUAAUUAACAAUAUGAAAGUUCAGCUUGAGAUUUUGAUGAAUAAAUCACAAGAAGACAGUUCAAUGGAGGAAGUGACACAGAAGCAGAAGGAACUUGAGACCCAACUUGCUAAAAAGGAAGUGUCAUUAAAAGAGAGUGAGGAACGAAACAUCGAAUUAAGCAAUCUGUUACAGUCUUUACAACAAGAAGUAAGAAACAAAAGUGAACUGGCAAACACACUGCAGGAAACGUUGAAAGCAACAGAAAUUGAAAAAAGCCAGUUGGAUGAAUUAAACCAGACAAUCCAUCAAGAAAUUGAUGUGCUCAAUGAAAAAGUCUCCUCCAUGUCAAAUUCUCUGGAACAAAAAGAGGAUUUACUCUCCAGAGUGACAAACUUUGCAAAACAACAUUAUCAACGGAUAAUGCGCAGUGAAUGUGUAACGGAAGACAUUGAAGAAAUAUUUUUAGAAUUACAUAAAUAUACCGAUCAAGAGUCAACUUCAAAUAAUCAAUCACAAGAUAUGGAAGAACUUGAAAAAUCCCUUGCUUCGCUAGAAAAACAAAACAAAGAGGAAAAAGAAAAAGUGCAAAACUUGGAACAAAGCUAUAAUGCAUUACUUGAGGAAAAUUCUACGCUUACGGAACAACUAUCAGCUAUUAAAAAUGACAUUCAACAAGGUGCUGUACACAAAGAAUCUUGGGAUGACCUUGUCGGACAAUUAACUAUUGCAAACGAUGAGAGAAAUGAUUUGACGAUGCAAAUUCAGAAUUUAACGACAGAACAAAAUAAAGUUGUUGAAGAAAACAAUUCCCUGAGAGACAUCAAUCAUAAGCUAUCAACUGAGAACAGAACACAAUUGGAACAAUUAAAGGACUUAACAAGCAAAAAUAUUGAAUUAGAAAGUAAGCUGUCUGAAGCGAAUAGAUAUCUUCAGGAAAUGUCUGAGAAAGUAAAUCUAAACGAGUCUUCUAUGGCAAAUAUGACUUUGUCAAUUGCAAGUCUUUCAGCUGAAAAUGAUAAACUGAAGGAGGAAAAUACAAGGUUGAACUCAUUAAGCAACGAAUUUGAAAAGGAUAAGGAAGAAUAUGAGAAGAAACACAACGCUAUUGUUAGUGAAAAUCAAUUCCUUUUGUCAAAGAUUAGCAAUUUUACAGCGGAUAGUGACAACAUGGCAAAGCAAGAAAUAUUUAAAGCCACUGCAACACCUAAAUUAACUACUAAUUUCACGGAUACAGAGGUUCUUAAAGAAAGCGAACAUCUGAGAAAAAGUGGAUUAGAUAAUAUUAACACACAGGAAGAACUUGAAACUGCUAAAGAAAGAUUGAAAAUAAUGGAAGAAGCACAAGAAAAAACAAAUGAAAAAUUAAAACUUUCUGAGACAAAGUGUGAGAAAAUGCUCGUUAAAUUGAAAGCAUUUAAAACAAAGUGCGACAAGCUCCAAGAAGAGGUUAACAGUUUGAAAAAGGUAACUGAAGAAACUGGAAACUCACAAAAGACUCAUGCAGAAGAUUAUUUAUCCCGAGUUCAAGAAUUAGAAGUAAUGUGCUCAGAGAAAGAUGAAAGCAACAAUGUUCUUUCUUGUGAAAUAAAAGAAAUGAAAACGAAACUAUCGGAAUUGGAAUCAGCAAAAGAAGUUCAACAUAGUAUAGAGGAGGAGUUGAGAGGCAAAUUAAAAGCCUUGCAAGACGAACUGAAUAAAUCUUUUCAGGAGUUACAAGAAAGAGAUUUGAAACUUUCCUCAACCCAAGAAGAUAUCACGCAUUUUAAGAAUGAAAUAUCAUCAUUAGAAAACUUUGCAGAGAAUCACAAGCAAAAAGAAAUGGAACUUUUGGACAGAGUUUCUGAACUUCAAAGCAAAUUAAAUGAUACUGAAGAAUUGAAACCUCUGUUGGAAAUCACAGAACGAAAACACGAGGAAUCAGAAAGAAAAUUGGAGGAUAGUUUAAUGCUUUGUGAUUCUCUAGAAGUUGAAAAUAAGAGUUAUAAGGAUAUCAUAGCGAAACUUAAAGAAAACAUCUCUAAGCUUGAACAGGAAAGAAGAAAUGCUGAAGAAAAGCAAUUGGAAAGAAAAACUCUUUUAGAAAAAAUCGAAAUGCUCGAAAGUGAACGGGAUCAAAUGCAAGAAGAAAUAGAUGGUUAUAGAGAGGACUUUAAUGUAUUAAAGGCCGAAAAGAACGAAUUGAAAAACAAAUGUGAAUCGAUUCAGUCAAAACUAGAUGAUAGUUCAGAUGAAAAUAAUAAGUUAAAAGAAAAAAUUGGAGCCCUGGAGUGGAAAGUCGAGGAAAUCGAAUCUCUGGAAGAGGAACUUGAAGAAGUGAGGUCAGAUCUUGAUAAAAAGAAGCUAGAAAUCAAUCAUAUUAUAAGAGAAAGAGACAAUUUCCAGUCUGAGUUAGAACAGAUUUUGAACACCGGUAAUAAAGGAGAGGACAUCGAAUCUAUAAAACUUGAGCUUGAAAAGGUUUCGGAAAGAAAUGAAAAAUUAGGAGAAGAGUUAGAAUCUUCUACAAAACAGAAAAUCGCUAUUACGAAUGAAGUAGACCAUCUUAAGGAGGAACUAAAAGAAGCAGCGGAAAAGGUUUCUAUGUUUGAGGUUUUGCAACAAGAAAACGUAAAAUUAAAAGCUGAGUUUGAUAGAGAGACAAAUAACGGUUUCAAAGAAACAAAAACUGUCUCUAAUGAAAGUGCGGCAGAAAAAAUAAAAGAGCUAGAAGAAGAGCUUGAGUUGAUAAGAGAAGAGUUAAAUGAAACUGUGUCUGAAAAUGAAACUCUCAGAAGUAAGACGCAGGUGUCGGAAUACAAAGCUCUUCUUUUUGACAAAUUUCAGAGCGAUUACGAAGCUUUGAAAUCGGAAAUGGAAUCGUUAAAAGGAAAUGUGGCACGAGAGACAAAUGCUGAGUCUUUUGAUACCCUGAAAGAAAAGUUGAAUGAAAGGGAAAGUGAAGUCCAGCAGUUGAAAUCGAAAAUGUCCACGAUGAAUAUUGAAUCUUCUGUAAAAAAAGAAGAUGUUAUGCAUGUUAGGUCAACACCGAGUGAUCUUGAAAAAGAAUUAAAUGAUAAACAAGAUCAAAUUGAUUCUAUAUUAGAGGAACUCAGUGAGCUGACAACAGAGAAUGACGUUUUAAAUGGAGAGAUAGCACAUUUGAAGAUUCAGAACAAAAUGUAUGAUGAAGUUAAAAAAGAGUUCGGGUCUUUAAAUGAUCAAAAUCAUAAAUUGCUGACCGAAAACAGUAAAAUGGUUAAAACUAUUGAGGAGCUUCACCAGAAAAUGCUGAAUGUAGGCAGUCACGACGAGUCGUUUUUAAACGAAGAAAGAGAACACGUUGCACGAGAGAAAGACACUUUAUUACAGAACAUAAAACAACUAGAGAAAAAUUGCGAAGAACUUGGCCAGAAAAAUUCGAACUUAAGUCUGGAGCUUCUCUCUAACGAAGGUUUAAUACAACAGCUAAGGUUUGAUAAUGAGACAAUGAGAGCCCAGCUAGGCAUUGCUCAGAGUGGGCAAAUUCAAAUGGAAAAUUUCCAUGAUGACUAUCAACGUCUUCAAGGACAGUUUUCAACAGCAAUGGAUCAGAAAAACAAGGCACAAUCUGAACUUAACCAGAUGGCUCAUAGACUACAACAGAGAGAUGCAAGAUGUCAGCAGCUGGCAAUGCAGAUAAGUCAAUUGGCCGAAGACAGAAGCUAUCUCAACAUUCAGUUAGGAAACCUGUCAAAGUCUUUGAGGGAAAAAGAAACUGAGCUGGCAACACUGCAGCAACAGUAUAGGAUACUUUACCAAACACACCUGUCAUUGCAAACUAAGGUAAAAUUGUGCUUGUUAUACAUUUUUUUCUACUUUUGCUAAGUGUUUAAUAGAAUUUGUGAUUUUGCCAUUUUGAAAAAUUUAUCAAUUUGUGAUUUGGCAAUUUAGAAUAGUUUAUCAAGCAUUUUUUACAUACUUAUAGCUGCUUGAGUCAGAGACAAAAACCAUUAACAUCGCCAUGCAGAGAGCAUCGUCCGUGGAAAUAGCAGAGGCUUCUGAGAAGCCCAUAAUUCCUGAGAAAACACGGGUAACAAUGACAACUGCCGAGACAUCAGAAGCAGAUGAAAUAAAACUUCUACGUUCCAAGUAAAACGCUUUGUUUGAUAUAUUGAGCCAAUGCUAUAAUCUAAUACACUGAAUUUAUUUAAACAUUUUAUUUCUACUGCCAUAUUGUGAUAUAAAUUUAGAUUAAUAAUGUGUUAUUUUGUUGAUAGAUUAUCAUUUAAACAAUCAUUUUAUCAAUGUUUUAAUUGUAAUUAAUGGUGAAAAUAUGUUAUUAAAAGAUGGCUUUUUAUAAAUCGCUAGGCUGCAAGAGACAGAACUGGUGCGAGAGCGACUAAAUGAUCAACAUUUGGCACUUGAGAAAUCCCUUAGAAUGGAACAGGAACAGCGUCAACAGCUGGAGGAAACUCUCAACACAAUGCAGGAGCAGGCCAAGCUGACUGCAGAAAAUAGAGAGUUCCAAAUUCAAAUGGAGGAAGAAGACGACAGGAUUCUGGAGAGCAGUCCCAUGCUAAUGAGAAGCGAGGCGGGUUAUACACAGAGAGUAUGCAACUGGUUAAGGGUUCGUCGGGAAUACCUCUGCUUUUCCAGCCGAAAUCUAAAUCGCGUGAUGCGCAUGCGCCCUGGAAUCCGAAAGAUAAUUUGGGGAUACUUCAUUCUUCUUCACAUCCUGGUCUUUGGUUGUAUGUUUGGAUUAUUAUGAUGGACCAUCCGAUUGAAGAGACAAUUUAAAGCAUACAAUUAGUUUUUCGUUAACAUCUUUGAUUUGUAUAUAUGUGUAUAAGGUUUGUCAAGAAAUUAUCUAUCAGUAUAAUUUGCCUUAGUGUAGGCAAAUUGUGCAUUGCAUGUUAUAAAUAUUGUCGUUUUUCUCUUGCUCUGAGGCAUUGACAAUCUUGUAAAAUAAUAUGAAUAUUUCACAAUGCUUUAUUACUUAUGCCAAUGCAUUGCCCAUACUUUGUUUUAUAAUUGUCAUUCCAAACUAGCAUUUAAACAUAUCGUUUGUAAAAACAUAUUUUGUAGAUAUAAUUGUGCACUGAGUUCCGGCAUUCCAUUAUCAUUCUUUUGUUUAUUCUUGUUCAUAUUAGAUGUGUUUUAAUGUAAAUCAUGAUUCGAUUUAAAGUGUAAAUAUGUAAAUUACCUUUGUUUUCUUAUCCUGGAAUUCAGAUUGUUAAUGUCCUAUUGCAUUUGUUUCUUAGGAUUUUCUAUAUUUUUAGUGGGGAGAUUCGAGUCUCACUGCUAAGCAUUGCAUAUCAUAAGAACGAUGCCAUUAUGUGAUAUAAAUUAUUUUUGCAAGAAUAAAUUGGUUAGUUGUUUUUUUUUAAUUUUGAUAUGAUAUCGUUUAUAAAUUUGUUAAAAUUAGGAGCAGAUAUUUGACCAUACCAAAUGCAGUCCUUUAAUUGGACGACAGGCAUGAUGAUAACCAGUUGCAGCAUUUUGGAUAUCCCCUUUCUGUUUUAACCAAUUUUCGUCAAAAGCAAUUGUUAUAUUUAACUUUAAGGUCACAUGCAGGUGAUUAUAACUUUUUUUGGUUUAGAGUAUUCGAUAUCAGCCAAUCAGAGAGCAAUGAGUGUAUAAAUUAUAUGAUAGACUUGUUUAUCACAUACAAUGCAUGUACAAAUUAAAUUCAUUCCGAAGAACCCCAAAACAACACUUUCUUGGUAUGUAUACAUUGCCUUUCAUUAUGCAAAUUAAUGUAUACCACAUCCACUCGGUGUUGAUUUGUUUUU
rnacentral:misc_RNA from 1 species